AAAAAUCCAGGUCCGGAUUAACAAAAAAAUAUGAAGUAAUUGUGACCUUGAACCGACACCCUGUAUAUUGAAAUUUUGAAAAUUUGUUUGCGUAUUUUAAAAGAGCAUAAGAAACUGCGUUAAAAGGUGCAUGUCAAAUUUUUGCGCAGAUAAUUUAAUUACGGCAAUUUUGCAAUCAUUGAUUAAUUCUUUCAAGGUCACAAGAAGCUGCCAGAAAAAUGAAGAACAAUCCCAAUGUAAUUAGAAAAUCGUUUCGAAGUCUUUUAAAACGAGCACGGAAAUGCAUCGAACAAAAUGGCGGACAUUUUGAGCAACUGUUAUAGUUCAAAUAUU
rnacentral:lncRNA from 1 species